rnacentral:rRNA from 1 species
GACGAACGCUGGCGGCGUGCUUAACACAUGCAAGUCGAACGGAAAGGCCCUGCUUUUGUGGGGUGCUCGAGUGGCGAACGGGUGAGUAACACGUGAGUAACCUGCCCUUGACUUUGGGAUAACUUCAGGAAACUGGGGCUAAUACCGGAUAGGAGCUCCUGCUGCAUGGUGGGGGUUGGAAAGUUUCGGCGGUUGGGGAUGGACUCGCGGCUUAUCAGCUUGUUGGUGGGGUAGUGGCUUACCAAGGCUUUGACGGGUAGCCGGCCUGAGAGGGUGACCGGCCACAUUGGGACUGAGAUACGGCCCAGACUCCUACGGGAGGCAGCGGUGGGAAAUAUUGCACAAUGGGCGGAGGCCUGUUGCAGCAACGCCGCGUGCGGGAUGACGGCCUUCGGGUUGUAAACCGCUUUCGCCUGGGACGAAGCGUGAGUGACGGUAAUGGGUUAAGAAGCACCGGCUAACUACGUG